rnacentral:rRNA from 1 species
CCUGGUGGCGAGUGGCGGACGGGUGAGUAACGCGUAGGAAUCUACCCAGUAGCGGGGGAUAGCCCGGGGAAACCCGGAUUAAUACCGCAUACGAUCUACGGAUGAAAGCGGGGGACCUUCGGGCCUCGCGCGAUUGGAGCGGCCGAUGUUAGAUUAGGUAGUUGGUGGGGUAAAGGCUCACCAAGCCGACGAUCCAUAGCUGGUUUGAGAGGAUGAUCAGCCACACUGGGACUGAGACACGGCCCAGACUCC